rfam:Oryza sativa (indica cultivar-group) chromosome 4, whole genome shotgun sequence.
AAAGAAAUCGUUAAGGGCGUAUGGCGGAUGCCUAGGCUUUCAGAGGCGACGAAGGACGUGGUAAGCUGCGAAAAGCUGCGGGGAUUGGCACACACGAAUUGAUCCGCAGAUAUCCGAAUGGGGCAACCCGGCAUAUUGAAGAUAUGUCACCUCGCAAGAGGAGCAAACCCGGAGAACUGAAACAUCUAAGUACCCGGAGGAAAAGAAAUCGAAGAGAUUCCGUAAGUAGUGGCGAGCGAAAGCGGAUUAGCCCAAAAGUCUUUUUAUGUUUAGAGGAAUGUUCUGGAAAGAACAAUCAUAGAAGGUGAUAAUCCUGUACUCGAAAGGCAUAUAGAGAUGAUAAAUGAGUAGGGCGGGACACGUGAAAUCCUGUCUGAAUAUGGGGGGACCAUCCUCCAAGGCUAAAUACUCCUGAAAGACCGAUAGUGAACAAGUACUGUGAAGGAAAGGUGAAAAGCACUUCGAAUAGAAGGGUGAAAUAGAACCUGAAACCGUACGCCUACAAGCGGUCGGAGCAGCGUAAUGCUGUGACGGCGUGCCUUUUGCAUAAUGAGCCUACGAGUUAAUUUUACUAGCGAGGUUAAGGUAUUAAGUACCGGAGCCGGAGCGAAAGCGAGUCUGAAUAGGGCGCAUAGUUAGUAGGAUUAGACGCGAAACCUUGUGAUCUACCCAUGGGCAGGUUGAAGCUCUGGUAACACAGAGUGGAGGACCGAACCGGUUGACGUUGAAAAGUCUUCGGAUGACCUGUGGGUAGGGGUGAAAGGCCAAUCAAACUGGGAGAUAGCUCGUACUCUCCGAAAUGCAUUUAGGUGCAGCGUCGUAUAUAAGUUUAUUAGAGGUAGAGCUACUGAUUGGAUGCGGGGGUUUCAUCGCCUACCAUUCCUGACAACUCCGAAUGCUAAUAAAUGUUCUACGGCAGUGAGGGCAUGGGUGCUAAGGUCCAUGUCCGAGAGGGAAAGAACCCAGACCCACAGCUACAGGUCCCCAAUAUAUGUUAAGUUGAAGCAACGCGGUUGGACUGCAUUGACAGCUAGGAUGUUGGCUUGGAAGCAGCCAUUCAUUUAAAGAGUGCGUAACAGCUCACUAGUCGAGCGGUCCGGCAUGGAUAAUAAUCGGGCAUAAACAUAUUACCGAAGCUAUGGAUUUAUAUUUUAGAUAUAUCUGGUAGGAGAGCAUUCUAUUUGCGCCGAAGCAGUACUGUGAGGUAUUGUGGAGCGGAUAGAAAAGAAAAUGUAGGCAUAAGUAACGAUAAAGCAGGCGAGAAACCUGCUCACCGAAAGACCAAGGCUUCCUCAGCCAUGCUAAUCAGCUGAGGGUUAGUCGGGACCUAACGCGAACCCGAAAGGGGUAGUGGAUGGACAUGGGUUAAUAUUCCCAUACUUGCUCACAAUAAAAGGGGACGGUUGGAUGUAGCUGCUGGAGACUGACGGAAUAGUCAAGGCCUAGCCUUCGGGCGAAGCUGCUGUAGUGUAAUCUGAUCCGAGAAAAGCCGAAGUGAAGCNACCCGUACCAAAACCGACCCAGGUGGUCGAGGAGAGAAUCCUAAGGUGCUCGAGUGAGUCGUGGCUAAGGAACUAGGCAAAAUAGUCUCGUAACUUCGGAAGAAGAGACGCCACAGCANNNNNNNNNNNNNNNNNNNNNNNNNNNNNNNNNNNNNNNNNNNNNNNNNNAAUGUAGGCAUAAGUAACGAUAAAGCAGGCGAGAAACCUGCUCACCGAAAGACCAAGGCUUCCUCAGCCAUGCUAAUCAGCUGAGGGUUAGUCGGGACCUAACGCGAACCCGAAAGGGGUAGUGGAUGGACAAUGGGUUAAUAUUCCCAUACUUGCUCACAAUAAAAGGGGACGGUUGGAUGUAGCUGCUGGAGACUGACGGAAUAGUCAAGGCCUAGCCUUCGGGCGAAGCUGCUGUAGUGUAAUCUGAUCCAAGAAAAGCCGAAGUGAAGCAACCCGUACCAAAACCGACACAGGUGGUCGAGGAGAGAAUCCUAAGGUGCUCGAGUGAGUCGUGGCUAAGGAACUAGGCAAAAUAGUCUCGUAACUUCGGAAGAAGAGACGCCAACAGCAAUGUUGGCCGCAGUGAAGAGGCCCAGGCGACUGUUUAUCAAAAACACAGGACUCUGCUAAAUCGAAAGAUGCUGUAUAGGGUCUGACACCUGCCCGGUGCUGGAAGGUUAAGGAAGGUGCUUAGCGUAAGCGAAGGCAUUAACUGAAGCCCCAGUAAACGGCGGCCGUAACUAUAACGGUCCUAAGGUAGCGAAAUUCCUUGUCGGGUAAGUUCCGACCUGCACGAAUGGUGUAACGAUCUGGGCACUGUCUCAGCCACGAGCUCGGUGAAAUUGUAGUAUCGGUGAAGAUGCCGAUUACCCGCAAUGGGACGAAAAGACCCUGUGAACCUUUACUAUAACUUCGUAUUGACUUUGAGUAAGUAAUGUGUAGGAUAGGUGGGAGGCUUUGAAGCAGGCACGCUAGUGUUUGUGGAGCCGACGUUGAAAUACCACCCUUUACUUACUUGGAGCCUAACUUCUUUCAGAAGGACAUUGCGUGGUGGGUAGUUUGACUGGGGUGGUCGCCUCCAAAAGAGUAACGGAGGCUUUCAAAGGUACCCUCAGCACGCUUGGUAACCGUGCGUAGAGUGUAAUGGCAUAAGGGUGCUUGACUGUGAGACCUACAAGUCGAUCAGGUGCGAAAGCAGGACAUAGUGAUCCGGUGGUUCCGUAUGGAAGGGCCAUCGCUCAUAGGAUAAAAGGUACUCCGGGGAUAACAGGCUAGUCUCCCCCAAGAGCUCACAUCGACGGGGAGGUUCGGCACCUCGAUGUCGGCUCGUCACAUCCUGGGGCUGGAGAAGGUCCCAAGGGUUGGGCUGUUCGCCCAUUAAAGUGGCACGCGAGCUGGGUUCAGAACGUCGUGAGACAGUUCGGUCUCUAUCUAUUGCGGGCGUUAGAUGUUUGAGAGGGCUUGAUUCUAGUACGAGAGGACCGAAUUGAACAAACCUCUGGUGUAUCAGUUGUACCGCCAGGUGCACCGCUGAGUAGCUACGUUUGGAAGAGAUAAGCACUGAAAGCAUAUAAGUGCGAAACUCGCCUCAAGAUGAGACAUCUUUUAAGGGUCGUUGUAGAUGACGACGUUGAUAGGCUAUAGGUGUAAAGACAGUAAUGUCAUAGCCAAGUAGUACUAAUUACCCGUAGAUUUAUAGUC